UGAACCAGUGAAGACAACUGGGGGUGUAUGUGUUUUGGAUGGUGAAUACUGUGUCUGGAAAUUUGAGGUCCAA